rfam:Parcubacteria bacterium GW2011_GWF2_44_7 TW72_C0002, whole genome shotgun sequence.
GGGGGCGUGGCGGAACUGGCAGACGCAUACGCUUCAGGAGCGUACGGAUAACAUCCAUGAGAGUUCAACUCUCUCCGCCCCCA